UCAAGUCAGACAGAGAUGGAUUCAAAUCUUGGCUUUUAGUGGGGACCUCAGAAAAGGUUCACUUCUUUGCUGACCUGUUGGAUUGAUCACACACAACACUUGAGUUGGAAUUCCAAUGAGAAUUUUUGGCAUGGCUGGAGCUAACUGGUGUGAGAAAAGAGGAGGGAAGCAAGGUCUGAGGAGAGUGGCGGGGGCCACACCAAAUGAGGACCUCAGCAGAGACAACAAGAGCCUGCUCAAGCUGAGGAUCAGUCCUGCAUAGUGGUCUGACGGCUCUCCCAGCCUCCUCCAGCGCCCUCCCCAUUUUUCUCCCACAAGGUCUUCCUCAACAAAUCUCUCGCGUGUCUGUUCUCAUCAUGGCAUCUGCUUCUCAGAAGACCUGAACUAACACAGUGAUCCAGAAGAAGCCAAUCUACAGUGAAAGAGAAGAAAUUCAACGCAGAGAGGGAAGCAGAAGCAAGAACUGGAGGGAGAUCUUGGAGGGAGUUUUUGACCCCUUAUUUCAGCUUUUCAGGAAGUCCAUCUGUACCCCUAUAGUUCCCAUAGUUUAAUUGUUCAGCAUUUCUCGUUUUACCUAAACUAGUUCAAGAUGGGUUUAGUCAUUUGCAACCAACAGAGAUGUGACUCGCGCAACAGAGAAAUUUUAUUUUGUUUUCCCUUAAAAAUAUCUAUCAUUGGGCGCCUGGGUGGCUCAGUUGGUUAAGCGACUGCCUUCGGCUCAGGUCAUGAUCCUGGAGUCCCG